CGGAGUUUAGCGCAGUUGGUAGCGCGCUACGUUCGGGACGUAGAGGUCGCUGGUUCAAAUCCAGUAACUCCGA
rnacentral:tRNA from 1 species